rnacentral:rRNA from 1 species
UUGCAACCUGAACUCAGGCGUGAUUACCCGCUGAACUUAAGCAUAUCAUUUAGCGGAGGAAAAGAAACUAACAAGGAUUCCCCUAGUAACGGCGAGUGAACGGGGAGAAGCCCAGCGCUGAAUCUUUCGGUGUUACACCGUUAAGAAAUGUAGCGUAUAGGUGUGGUUUUCAGUUUGUGCUACUUAUCCAAAGUCCCUUUGAUAGGGGCCACAUUCCCGAGAGGGUGCGAGACCUGUGCGGAUAGUGGAGCAAGCUGUACGAUCAUACCUUGGAGUCGGGUUGCUUGAAAGUGCAGCCUAAAGUGGGUGAUAAACUUCAUCUAAGGCUAAAUAUAGACGCGAAUUCGAUAGCAAACAAGUACUGUGAAGGAAAGUUGCAAAGAACUUUGAGAGAGAGUUCAAGAGAACGUGAAAUCGCUGGAGUGGAAACGGAGAGAGUUGACGUAGUCCGGUGACUAAGUUUGCCGAAAUCGCUUAAUUGUGAUUAAGGUGAAUGUAUGUUGCCUAUGGCUGCGCUGACAGCACUGGUUGUACGUUCCGAACCGUUUUCGUUGCCCAAUUUUCGAAUUGGUGUCUUGUUUACGGGUAGGUUUGUUAUGACUAGUGUUUUAUCCUGUUUUAUGCAGGGUGUCAGUGUGAAGGUCGACCACCUCUCCGACCCGUCUUGAAACACGGACCGAGGAGUGUAACUUGUACGCGAGUCAAAGGUGGAAAACCCAAGGCGCAAUGAAAGUAAAGGUCGGUUAACCGACUGACAUGGGAUCCGUUUCGUUUUGAAGCGGCGCACCAUGGCCCUGUCUUGUCUGCUUGCAGAUGGGCAGCGGUAGAGCGUACAGGUUGCGACCCGAAAGAUGGUGAACUAUGCCUGAGCAGGACGAAGUCAGAGGAAACUCUGGUGGAAGUCCGUAUCGGUUCUGACGUGCAAAUCGAUCGAUAGACUUGGGUAUAGGGGCGAAAGACUAAUCGAACCAUCUAGUAGCUGGUUCCCUCCGAAGUUUCCCCCAGGAUAGCUGGAGUUCAUUGCGGUUAUAUCCGGUAAAGCGAAUGAUUAGAGGACUUGGGGUCGAAACGACCUCAACCUAUUCUCAAACUUUCAAUGGGUAUGUUGUCUCGGUUUCUUUGUUGAACUGUUGACACGAACGCGAACUCCAAGUGGGCCAUUUUUGGUAAGCAGAACUGGCGCUGUGGGAUGAACCAAACGUUGGGUUAAGGUGCCUAACUUUUCGCUCAUGAGACCCCAUAAAAGGCGUUGGUUGAUAUAGACAGCAGGACGGUGGCCAUGGAAGUCGGUACCCGCUAAGGAGUGUGUAACAACUCACCUGCCGAAUCAACUAGCCCUGAAAAUGGAUGGCGCUUGAGCGAGAGACCUAUACCCAACCGUUGCUGGCUUGUGCGUGCCUGUCGCCUGGCUGCAACGAGUAGGAGGGUCGUGGCGGUUGCGUCGAAGGUUUUGGGCGUAGGCCCAACUGGAGCUUCCGUCAGUGCAGAUCUCGGUGGUAGUAGCAAAUAUUUAAGUUCGAUCCUUGAAGACUGAAGUGGAGAAGGGUUCCACGUGAACAGUAGUUGAAUGUGGGUCAGUCGAUCCUAAGAUACUGGCUUAUGCCUUGUAUCAUCGAGAGGAAAAGUUUCUCUCGGAUAUCAAAAGGGAAUAGGGUUAAUAUUCCCUAACGCAGACACAGAGAUUGUGGCUCUUACGAGUCACUUGCGCGGUAACGCAUUCGAACUUGGUUACGUCGCUCAGAGACCGAGCUAGAGUUCUCUUCUCUAGUUAAGGAACGGACUCCUGGAAUCGGUUCAGCCGUAGAUAGGGACGUUGUUUCCGUAAAGCAUCGCGGUUUCUGUGAUGUCUCGUGUUCUCUGGACGGCCCUUGAAAACCAAGGGAGGCUAUUAAUCUGUGCUGCAUCGUACCGAUAUCCGCAUCAGGUCUCCAAGGUGAACAGCCUCUAGUCGAUAGAAUAAUGUAGGUAAGGGAAGUCGGCAAAUUAGAUCCGUAACUUCGGGAAAAGGAUUGGCUCCAGUGACCGGGUCGGUUGGCUUGUUAACUGAUGCUUGUGCGGUUUCGUCCGUGGCUGGCUGAUACUAACGUUGAUGCUGGACUAGUGACAUGACUGCCUUGUGGACGUUUUCAGGUGUGUGCUUUGUCUUCGGACUUAGUAUCCUGAUCGACCAUCAAAACGGUCGAACUGGAACUGGUACGGACUCGGGGAAUCCGACUGUCUAAUUAAAACAGAGGAGACAGAUGGUCCUUGCGGACGUUUACUGUCUCUGAUUUCUGCCCAGUGCUCUGAAUGUUAAAUCGUAGUAAUUCGAGUAAGCGCGGGUAAACGGCGGGAGUAACUAUGACUCUCUUAAGGUAGCCAAAUGCCUCGUCAGCUAACUACUGACGCGCAUGAAUGGGAGUAGUGAUCGUCCUUCCACGAAGUGCUCGGGCAACGUUGCUAGCACAACGGCAGAAUACGAUCAAGCGAACAUGUCAGUGAAUACUGAUGCGACUUUGGGAAUGAGUCGAGACCAAACUGGUAGUAGACUUUCCACUCUAUUCGAGCUAUACCUCAUUGGAAAAUGAGAGUGCAGCCUCCCAACCGCCCACUUAUGGGCGAAUCCCAAUAUCCAGCAGCCACUCUGGAUUGAACGGGCCAAGCGCUCAAAAUCCACGGCGGAAACGCCAAAGAGGGGAAAUGUGGACUCCACUAGAGCUGAGAGGCUAAGAGCUUUGGCCGAAAGGCACAAAGCCAGCCGGGGAAUUCGUUGGAAAGACCUAACAAUAGAGUGGGAAACCCAACGUAGCCCUUCAGAUCCCUUGAGGACUAUACCAGCCAUGCAAAGGCUUUAAGGGAUUAGCUCCCGAAGGGUGCAAGCCCAACGGCUACCUCAUCGCAGUCCGACGCAAUAGCUGCGCGGGAGAUAGAGGAACAGCCUAGAAGUGAAAUAGCUCCUCAAGAGCAACAGAUCGGCCAUGAGCCUAAUAGGGAACCUGCCAUACGGUUUGCAGAUGAAAGCAGAAGAGGGACGGUCUCAUGGACAGAACCCAAUGCGGAACUCAAAACUGU